UCACAGCACAGCUGAGCUUGGACUUCUCGUUCCUGUUUUGUGAGUUUUCCCCUUAUAAUAAAUAAAAAUAUAAUUGUUUUAUCUUUUAGCUAGCCUGGUUAUUACCCGAAUCGAGCUAACUUCUACAGUUGGCACCCAACAUGGGGCUCAGGUCUCCAGCAGCUCUAGCCAGAUGCUGUCAGGUUCCAUGCUGUUCAUUUGGGUAUAGAAUUACCAUACAGCAGCCCUGAGUAGCUGCUAUCUGUGGUCCUUCAUAUUUUCUCCUUAAAUGCCUCAGAGCUGCUCCAAGUGCUCAGGUACCUUGGCCACCCACAACUGCAUGGCUGGCUUCUGGGUCUAGUUUUUCCGGCACUUGUGAAAGCUCAGGUGGCACGUGGGCAUCUCUAGUUGUCUCUGUUUGGCAUUGCUUUCUUGCUCUCUUUGUGUUCGUGCAGCUGAUGACCAGUCAGGGACUUCUGUGGAGUGCACGGUCUGUGAUUUACGUCAAAUAAUUGUUUUAUUUUGAGCAUAUAUUUCAGUAUUUAAUGAUAAAUUCAGAUUCAAGUUGGCCACAUGGCUACAAGUGCACCACAACACCUACCAGCAGGUAACAGUUAUUGGAUCUACGCCAGCUCAAACUCAACCACAGUAACAGCAGAAUUUUGGUGAAAAGCGAUGAUCCUCGCUUUACAAUGGGAGCACUGGAGAUUCCGUGUGUGGAAGACAAGGCAGUCUACUUUGUGGCUGUGGAAAGUGGGACACCACCCUGGAGCAUCAGGUGACAAGACGUGGAGACACCAUGACUACGCAAGUCUUUUAAAGGAAAACCCGCUUAACUGAGGUGGCAGCCCCUCGUCAUCAUGGCAGGGAACAUGGAAGUGUGCAGGUUCCAUGGUACUGGCUACAUCUUGAUCAGAAGGCAACAGGAAGUGGACUAUGACACUGGGAGUAGCUUGAGCACAGAACUCCAAGCCCACUCCGCAGUGACACACUUCCUCCAGCAAGACCACACCUCCUAAUAGUGUUACACCCUUUGAAAGUCAUCUUCUUCAAACCACUACAACUCCUAUGGUGAAGGAACUGCUUGAGGAUUGGGUAAGAAAGGCAUUCUGGACAAGUCAGCAAAAGAGAAACGAAGGAACGGAUGAACAAGUGAAUGAAGCCCGGAGGAGACAUUCCUUCUGUGAGGAACGCAACGUGACAUGCAUUCUGCGAAAAAUCAGACAUCAGCAACUGAAAAAGAGGGAGAAACAGGGAGGCAAGAAAGGGAAUGAGAAGGAAACCAAACGCCCCGGUGAUAUGCUGCCAAAACACUUCAACCCAAGACCCGAGACUGAAGCUUUGUGAGUUAAAAUUCAUCCUUAGUUGUGUGUCUGAAAGGAGCUUUGUCAACAGGGAAGUAAAGACAGCAAUAGAGAAGGCCCAGUGUCCUCUCUGCCUGCAUUUCUCUUAUACAUGCUUUCUUCAUAUUCAUAUGCACCAACUGAGACAAAUACAACCUACUAACGGCCACAAGGAGCAUUUUGAUCACCCAGAGGCUCUCGUUAAUAUCUACGCCCAUACCAGUCACUGUUUUCCUUGUGAUGGGAGAAGGUAGAGGUAACUGGACACGUACAAAAACUGGACCAGGGACGAAACUAAGAUCUUGCCUUUGUCCUUAUGGACAGAUGAAACAUAAGAGCUAGGCCUAACUAUCAGGGAACAAGUAGGAAAGAGACAUGCUUAUCCGCCAUACUCCUGCCAUCUGAAAACCUGAGUCCCACCCUCAAGAGCCAGGUAUUUAUUGCUGAUUGGUCAGUUGACCCUCCUAUGGGAAUGACCUCUCAGAUGGUGGCAGAGCAGCUUCGAUUGUUUGGCAUGAUGAAAAGUAUAAAAGUAUAACAUAAAAGAAUAAACAGAUUCCUUUUUCGUGAA